rnacentral:rRNA from 1 species
CCUACGGGCGGCAGCAGUGGGGAAUAUUGCACAAUGGGCGCAAGCCUGAUGCAGCCAUGCCGCGUGUGUGAAGAAGGCCUUCGGGUUGUAAAGCACUUUCAGCGGGGAGGAAGGCGUUAAGGUUAAUAACCUUGUCGAUUGACGUUACCCGCAGAAGAAGCACCGGCUAACUCCGUGCCAGCAGCCGCGGUAAUACGGAGGGUGCAAGCGUUAAUCGGAAUUACUGGGCGUAAAGCGCACGCAGGCGGUCUGUCAAGUCGGAUGUGAAAUCCCCGGGCUCAACCUGGGAACUGCAUUCGAAACUGGCAGGCUAGAGUCUUGUAGAGGGGGGUAGAAUUCCAGGUGUAGCGGUGAAAUGCGUAGAGAUCUGGAGGAAUACCGGGGGCGAAGGCGGCCCCCUGGACAAAGACUGACGCUCAGGUGCGAAAGCGUGGGGAGCAAACAGGAUUAGAUACCCCUGUAGUC